ensembl:lncRNA
UUGCAUGUCAGCCUCUCUUCAUCUUUUUAUUAAUUGUGUUUGUUCCAGUAAUAACAAAAGAGUAAACAUGAACAGUGCCUCACUUAUCAUUGUACGAAGUUAAAUACACAGAAAUGUAUAUUGUUGCUUUUUUAGUGCUUUGUAUCUCAAAUACAUUUGGAAGCUCUCUGAGGUACGUGUUGUCCCGCUUGCAGCCAGCCAGCCAGCCAGCCAGUAAGACAAACAAGCACUCUGUGCUAUGCAAAACUGAGAUCCUGGUAACACUGCACCUCCUAAACAUUAGGCUGAAAACUAUUCACCAGUGUACAAACCUGCAUAUCCUCAAACAAGAAAGAUCUUGUUAAUGUGGAAGCAAAAUGAUAUGACAAACUCUAAAUAACUAGAAUCAUCCAAUUUAACAGAGGCCCACAUGAUCCAAGUGAACUUUAAAAAUCCUCAGCAACACCGUGUGUGAUGUGAUUCUCCAGAUCCCCCUUGUUCAUAUUAACACUUGACUGAUCCUUCUAGGAAGGGUCCCUGCAAUGGGAAUAAGAAAGCUGCUCACUUCUGCUGAGGCAAAUUUUCAGAAUACUUGCUUCUACUUCUGCUUCACCUAUUAGUUUGCAGGGCUAUCAUAAGCAUUUGGAAGUCCCUGUUCAUGCACAUAUAGUGAGAAUGGACUCAUAGUGCUUGAAAAGCACAGAUGGUAGUUGCACAGGUAUAGAAAUGUUGAUACUGGCAACUGGCUGCCAGAGAACCAUCUGACCUUUGGUGCACGGCUCUAAGACUGUUUUAUUGUCAAUAUCACUAUCAAAAUAUGACUGUUGUUUCCAACUCCCUUACUAUUGAUUGUCUUUUGAAUAGUUUAGCACCCUCAAUAUUACUACACAUGCAACUUCAGAAGAUCUCAGCCUAAAGUACAUUCCUUUGUCUCCCACUGUAAGUGUUUAAUUGGUUGCUCGCAGCAUAACAUCAGUUGACACAAGCAUGAACACAUCUUGGUGUCUACAGUUCCAUUACCUUAUAGUCACACAAUAUUUUAUGAAUGCUGUGUUAGAAGACAUUUAAACAUUUUAAGUGAGAGGAAAAUCACUGCGCAGCACAUUGGAUAUUUUCAUAAAGAUAUGCAAAAAUCCACACGAUUAUCACAAUCUUUUACUGUGUGAUAAUUAAAAUACAAUCUAAUGUUCCUAUAAAUAUAUUGAUAUGCAUAUGAAACAUGUAAAAAAAUUACUCUCAAAAUUCAGUGAUCUGCUUUAUAGAAAUGGGACAUACAGAAAAGAUACUCCUGCACUAUAAAAUGGAACAAUGCAUAGAGAUAUUUAUACUGCAUUUACCUUAGACAAUGUAACGCUAAGCUCUGCUUAGAAGUAUGUGAGAUUUUAUCAAGAUAUAUCAAAUAAAUUGUUCAUAUUUGGACCACAGCAAUACAGCAAAUCUAACCAAAUAUUCGAAACACAGCAGAAUGCAUACAAAAUCUUAACAAUUCUGCCUGACAGACAUUUGUAAGUGGUUUGUUUAGACGUGUGAUAGCUUGCUCCAUUUUUAACGUUUUCAGUAAAAACCAAGUAAACUCAGCACUCCAGAGGUGAAAUGAAAUGUGAAAUUGUUUAUCAUUUCAUGAACAUGUGGAAGAGAUGGCACUGUCUCUGGCUUUGUUAUUUUUAAAAUCAGUAUUUCUGUAGAAAGUCACUUAGCCUCCUGUACAAUGAAGUGCUUUAGCAUAUGUUAGCAUUUUAGCACCACUAAUUCUUUUCCUCUUCACCAAAACAUCCAGUCACUUUUAACAGAAUUUGAAUAUGUAUAAUAAUUAUAAGUUUAAAUGGUUUGCUCAAAGCAACUCUUCUUCUGACACAGAAUUUUACAUCACCCGAAGGCAAAUGCCCUUAAAAUUAAACAGAAUUAAACAAAUUAAACAGUAGGAGACUUCUUCUAUCACUCUGGGAAUUUUUUUGAUAGAUCACUUUAAAUUAACUUAACUUUACUUAUACAGCACUUAAUUUGAUGUUACUCUACUGAAAUUAAUUAGUUUUGCUACCAAUCCCUCAUGAGGGUUACACUUACUUGUAUUUUAAAUUUAAAAAAACACUAAAAAUCAUAUUUUAGUCCACAGUGACUGCUACACUAAAAAAACAGGUUUUGCCUGAUGCAGAUUUCUAACUUUUAGCAAUGUAGAUGAUAAUGUUUUAAUCUAAUUUCCACCAAAACUUAAUAAGAAGCGUAUUUCAAACUCCAUGGAAAAUUUUGUAUUCCCAAAAGCACAAGUUAUUGAAGUACUUCAUAGCACUAACAAUAGCCUUCUGGCAUCAGUAAUCUAAAUCACAAAUGACAUCCGCUGGCUAUUUGUUAAUUAUGUUUUUGAAUUGCCUAUGGCUACACUAGAGGAUAUAUUUCAGGCUCUGAUUUCUAUUAAUAGCUACCUGCUUUGGAACGCACAAAAAAACCCCUCUGUCCUAUCCAGCCUCUUUAUACCUAAGACAGCAAGUCCCCUUCUUUUAGGCUAUCUACUCUCAAAAUACAACAAACUGCUGCUCUCCUGUAAUACGCAUGGAAUAUCAAUGUGAAUGUACAAUAUGUAGUCCUCUAAGUUUCGUGAAACCAUUCGUAAGCACUCAAGAAGUGCAGAAGACUAAUUAUUUUGAGACAGCAUUUGCAUUUAAUGCUUUCACAGACUUCAGUGUUCUGUAAUCCUUCAGGAAUAGGUUCAGUUCAAAGGUAUGUUUAUCACAGCUAUCUAAACAUCUUGAGAUUAGACUAGACUGUAAAUAACAUAAAGUGAGCUUUCUUAUUAGGCAUCUAUUAAUUUCUCUUUUGAUCACUCGGAAACAAUUCAAGUGCAAUGAGAGGCUGAGCCAAAGCCUGGAACUGUGGAGCUAUAAUGUUUACACAAUGUUUUGAUAACAGCUAUAGAAUUUCAGAAAGUCCUGACAAAAGCUCAUGUCUGCUUUUGUUUUACCUCUUCAGCUUUAUUCAACUGGCUGAACAAAAAAGGCCAUGUCAGUUUUCUCCCCUGUUUUAGGACCACUAAGAAUGUAACAGCUAGCCCAUAUCAAAGGACCUCAAAUACUCUGUCCCACCAUCACUGUUAAGUCCCCAUCUCUUUCUAUACCCAGAAGGAAAAGCGACAAUGAAAUACUUCCCCAUGAGUGCUUCCAAUAGACAAAGUAAGAUAAAUUUUGAAAAGUAAGAAGAUGUAAAUGAGAGCAACAAAGAUUUAAUCCUGCAAAUGCUGUGGGAUGAUCUCUUCAAGAGAGGGAAUAUUGCUACAACAAAACAAGAUAUUCUAAAAACUACAUAUUCACACUUACUCAUAAACUAUUAUAAUUAUGGUGUUAGUAACACUAUUAUAUUGUUCUUUUUGUGUAACCAGGAGAUAGUCUCUUGAGGAGUCUUAUAAUGUUUUUUCCAAAAAUGUCCUUGAAAAGUAUAUGCUCACUGCGGACACAAGCAUUUAAAUGUUGCAACUCGUGGUACAAAAAAAAAAAAAGAAAAAAAAGGGGGGGGGGGGGAAUCCAUGAAAACGUAUUACAUACAUAUGGACAAGUUGGAUAAGAAUGUAAAGACUGAUCCAAGAAUAUGUAUCUGCUAAUUUUGGCAUGGAGUAAGUCCAACAUUGCACCUGCCCUGGCUAGGUGAAAGAUUGUUUAGAUAUAAAAAGGCAGAACAAACACUAACAAUGCAGCUUUCACGUGAGGAGCUGGUGUGAACGAUGUGGUGUGAGGGUAGGGCAGAGAGAAACACCUGCUCAAAUGAGCUCUCCAAGGGCAGAGCACCAAAGCUAGUUAAACACCAGAAAAGAGGGACACUGUGGGAAACCUACUGUUGCAGGUUUUAUUAGCAGGUUAGACAAACAUACACCAUGAAUGUCACUGGUGCAGUUGAUUUGUCUUAACUCCACGGCAACAAUUACACACCUUCUCAAACCCUAUUCUCCUUCCUCCCCACGCCCGUUAUUGUUCUCAUGAUCUUAGUCCACUGCAUGUUCUCCUUGGUCAAAUUUACCUCUCUAGGUCAUCUUCAGCCACUGGAACUCAGGGCUGCUGUAAUUACUGUUUCUCAGAAGAGAAAAAGAAUCAAGAAGAAACCUGGACACAAUAAAUCCAGAGGCAAAGGUUUUAUUCUUCAGGGGUAGAAUUCUGUGUAAAGCAGCUCUCUACUCACAAACUGGGUGACAAAAACCUGCCUGACAGUCUCUGAAAUCCUGAGUCUCGAUGCAAGCAUCAAUACACCUCUUGGGUUUGUGUGCCAGCUACCACAUUUUACAAACUAAGAACUCAGCUGGCCUAUCUGCUCUCCACACCAAGUACAAGGAGUUAGGACCCUCCUGGGAGAGAUUAGACCUUGGUUAGGCAAACUGCCUUCUAGAAAUACUC